rnacentral:rRNA from 1 species
GACAGAGGGUGCGAACGUUGUUCGGAAUUACUGGGCGUAAAGCGCAUGUAGGCGGCAGCGCAAGUCGGGCGUGAAAUCCCACGGCUCAACCGUGGAAGUGCACUCGAAACUGCGCAGCUAGAGUCCUGGAGAGGAAGGUGGAAUGCUUGGUGUAGAGGUGAAAUUCGUAGAUAUCAAGCGGAACACCGGUGGCGAAGGCGGCCUUCUGGACAGUGACGUGACGGCUGAGAUGCGAAAGCGUGGGGAAUCAAACAGGGAUUAAGAUACCCCAG